ensembl:misc_RNA Y_RNA Y RNA
GGCUGGUCUGAUAGUAGUGGGUUAUCAGAACACAUUAACAUUAGUGUUCCUGAAGUUAGUAUAAAACUCCCCCAAUCCUAAAUGACUGGCUUUAA